GACGAACGCUGGCGGCGUGCCUAAUACAUGCAAGUAGAACGCUGAAGGAGGAGCUUGCUUCUCUGGAUGAGUUGCGAACGGGUGAGUAACGCGUAGGUAACCUGCCUGGUAGCGGGGGAUAACUAUUGGAAACGAUAGCUAAUACCGCAUAAGAGUAGAUGUUGCAUGACAUUUGCUUAAAAGAUGCAAUUGCAUCACUACCAGAUGGACCUGCGUUGUAUUAGCUAGUUGGUGGUGUAACGGCUCACCAAGGCGACGAUACAUAGCCGACCUGAGAGGGGGAUCGGCCACACUGGGACUGAGACACGGCCCAGACUCCUACGGGAGGCAGCAGUAGGGAAUCUUCGGCAAAGGACGGAAGGCUGACCGAGCAACGCCGCGUGAGUGAAGAAGGUUUUCGGGUCGGAAAGCUCGGUUGUAAGAGAAGAACGAGUGUGAGAGUGGAAAGUUCACACUGUGACGGUAUCUUACCAGAAAGGGACGGCUAACUACGUG
rnacentral:rRNA from 1 species